rnacentral:rRNA from 1 species
ACGAACGCUGGCGGCGUGCCUAAUACAUGCAAGUCGAACGCUUCUUUUUCCAUCGGAGCUUGCUCCACCGGAAAAAGAGGAGUGGCGAACGGGUGAGUAACACGUGGGUAACCUGCCCAUCAGAAGGGGAUAACACUUGGAAACAGGUGCUAAUACCGUAUAACAAUCGAAACCGCAUGGUUUUGAUUUGAAAGGCGCUUUCGGGUGUCGCUGAUGGAUGGACCCGCGGUGCAUUAGCUAGUUGGUGAGGUAACGGCUCACCAAGGCGACGAUGCAUAGCCGACCUGAGAGGGUGAUCGGCCACAUUGGGACUGAGACACGGCCCAAACUCCUACGGGAGGCAGCAGUAGGGAAUCUUCGGCAAUGGACGAAAGUCUGACCGAGCAACGCCGCGUGAGUGAAGAAGGUUUUCGGAUCGUAAAACUCUGUUGUUAGAGAAGAACAAGGAUGAGAGUAACUGUUCAUCCCUUGACGGUAUCUAACCAGAAAGCCACGGCUAACUACGUGCCAGCAGCCGCGGUAAUACGUAGGUGGCAAGCGUUGUCCGGAUUUAUUGGGCGUAAAGCGAGCGCAGGCGGUUUCUUAAGUCUGAUGUGAAAGCCCCCGGCUCAACCGGGGAGGGUCAUUGGAAACUGGGAGACUUGAGUGCAGAAGAGGAGAGUGGAAUUCCAUGUGUAGCGGUGAAAUGCGUAGAUAUAUGGAGGAACACCAGUGGCGAAGGCGGCUCUCUGGUCUGUAACUGACGCUGAGGCUCGAAAGCGUGGGGAGCAAACAGGAUUAGAUACCCUGGUAGUCCACGCAGUAAACGAUGAUUACUAGGAGUUUGCGAUACAAUGUAAGCUCUACAGCGAAAGCGUUAAGUAAUCCACCUGGGGAGUACGACCGCAAGGUUGAAACUCAAAGGAAUUGACGGGGGCCCGCACAAGCGGUGGAGCAUGUGGUUUAAUUCGAAGCAACGCGAAGAACCUUACCAGGUCUUGACAUCCUUUGACCACUCUAGAGAUAGAGCUUCCCCUUCGGGGGCAAAGUGACAGGUGGUGCAUGGUUGUCGUCAGCUCGUGUCGUGAGAUGUUGGGUUAAGUCCCGCAACGAGCGCAACCCUUAUUGUUAGUUGCCAUCAUUUAGUUGGGCACUCUAGCAAGACUGCCGGUGACAAACCGGAGGAAGGUGGGGAUGACGUCAAAUCAUCAUGCCCCUUAUGACCUGGGCUACACACGUGCUACAAUGGGAAGUACAACGAGUCGCAAAGUCGCGAGGCUAAGCUAAUCUCUUAAAGCUUCUCUCAGUUCGGAUUGUAGGCUGCAACUCGCCUACAUGAAGCCGGAAUCGCUAGUAAUCGCGGAUCAGCACGCCGCGGUGAAUACGUUCCCGGGCCUUGUACACACCGCCCGUCACACCACGAGAGUUUGUAACACCCGAAGUCGGUGAGGUAACCUUUUGGAGCCAGCCGCCUAAGGUGGGAUAGAUGAUUGGGGUG